UUGGUUAUAUAUUUUUGCGGCCGCCAACACAUGUGGCAUUUGUGCGUUGAACAAACAUUUUUUUGCAUAACUUUUGAACCGUCUCUCAUUUGGCGGCUACACAUUUCCAACUUUGAUCAUUAUCCUUUAUGUAAUGUAAUGUCCUUAUGUUAAUGUAAUAAUGACAACCACUUUGCUAUUUGGAUGCUUACAAUAUCCACUUUUUUAUAAUUACAAGCUGAGUAUAGGUAUCUCUACUUCCAACAGGUACCAAAGAUAUCUAUAUUUCUGGUUUUCAUCCUUUAUCAUUAUAGCAUUGCCACAUUAUGAACAAUUCAUUACUUUCUUUAUUAAUAUCUAAUCCUGUAGGAAUUUGAAAAGUAGAAUUCAAAUAAUUAAUAAAUGAAUCUUCUUCUGUUUAUCAAACUGAAACUUCUGAUUUUCUUGUUUUUCAAAGUUUAUGCAUGUAGUGAUUUGUAGUAAAAAUGAGUGCAUACGUGGUUCCAAAAAUGUGGAAUUUGAUAAAAAUUCGUGAGUUUUGCUAAAAUCAUAAUUUAUUUUUCAAAUUCCUGCAGGAUAAAAUGUUACUAACGAAAGGAAAGAGUUGUGCACAAUGUGGCAAUGCUAUGAAAAUGAUGAAUGGAAACUGUAGAUGUAGAUUAACUAUUCCAGCAUCUUUAAAUCUUAGUAAAAGAAAAAAGUUUGUGAUGCCAAAAUCUCCAUAAAAGAAGGUACAUGGUUUGCAAAAACAAAACCAAGUUAUGAAAUGGUAUUAAAAUUAACAUACAUGCUUGUAUAUAAUUACGACCCUUAUUACAUUAUAAAAAAGCUGGAAUUAAACAAAAAUACUGUUUCGCAAUGGUCCCAUUUUGUUCUGCAUGUCAUGGUUGAUUGGUUACAAAACUGUUGUGAAAUGAUCAGUGGAGAAGGAAAAAUUAUAGGACAGUGGGUAUUCGGUGGUAUUGAAAGGGACAGUGGAAAAAUAUUUUUGGUGCCUGUCAAAAGCAGAGGUAUUAACACCUUGAUGGCUGUGAUAAAAGAGUGAAUUAGGCCAGGGACAACAAUCAUAUUCGAUAGUUGGAAGGCCUAUGAUGUAUUAGAAAAAGAAGGUUUCAAGGAUUUAAAAGUAAAUUAUAGAUGAAUUUAGUCAUAAAUCAUUUAGUAAAUUUUGUAGAUCCUGAUACCGGUGUCCAUACCAAUUCAAUUGAAAGUAUGUAAGUACUUGGAGGCACACAAAAUAUUUUUUACCUGAAUACAUAUUGUUGAAAGAAGAAUAAUUUCAUAGGUUAUUUAAGCCACUAUAUUUUUACUAAAUGGGCCAGAGAUGAUAAUUUAUAUUUAUUUGACACGGUUUUAACAGAAAUAGCAAAAAUAUUAUUUGAUUCUGCUGAAAAUCAAAAUAUGUCGAAUUUGGAGGAUUGAUUCUGUUCAUAUAUAUUAUUAAAAUUUCAACGAAACCACAAAUUUCCGCAAACAACGAUAUACAAAUUAAUAACAUACAGAAUAAGACAAAUUGAACGACUUAUAACUUAUGAUUGCUAAACGGGCCAUUUUCUAGGAAUGUUCCCAUUUCUGUUAUGUAAAAUAUUUAAUUAAAAUCAUUGUGAUUUUACAUGUGGCUGAUAUUCCUUUUUUAAUUUAAAGAACACCUGUUU